rnacentral:snRNA from 1 species
UAAUCUUCACUUGAGGUUUACGA